rnacentral:rRNA from 1 species
AUGCGGCGCGGCCAAAGAAGGGCAAGACAUCGGCGAAGAAGAACAAGGCGGCGGACGGCUCCGGCACCUCGAAGGCAAGGAGGAAGAAGCUUGCAGGGCGUGCGACGGGCGCGGCGGCUACCGAAGCACCGGCGAGCUCACUCGUUGAGCCGGCGGCCGACGCGCACAACAUGUUCGACGAAAUGCCCCCAAGGUAGAAUUUUUUUUCCAACUUUUCUUUUCUUGUUAUUUUUUCAAUGCAUUCAUAUAGAUAGCUUAUUUGCAUUGUUCAAAAAACUUUGUAGUCUCAAUGAUGAUGCAUACAUGUCAACUAUGGGUGUUGGCUCCAACAAUUCGCAUUGGUCUCAAACCAAUGACAUACAUUUCGAAGACCAUGAGUUCGAGGUGGACGAGGAGGAUGAGGGCAUUGUCGACGUGCUGAAAGGAAGAGCGGGCAAUUACACCAACGCCGAUGACAUCUUACUAUGCAAUACUUGGUUGCAAGUGUCGAGGGAUCCAUCCGUUGGAGGUGAUCAAAGUAGAGAUGCUUUAUUGGGGGCGGAUGAAAGAACACUUUGA